GUAGUGUCUGCACUAUUCCUGAUAUCAAUCAGUGCCUUCCGCUCCUGAUCCCUCUGGGCAUGCAUCUCAGCUUCCUUGACCAUCUUGUCUAUCUCAUCUUCUGAGAGUCCACCAGACGACCGAAUAGUAAUCUGCUGUUCUUUGCCAGUGGCCUUGUCCUUUGCAGAGACCGUGACAAGUCCAUUUGCAUCUAUGUCAAAUGUGACUUCUAUCUGAGGCAUACCCCUUGGUGCAGGAGGAAUACCAACAAGUUCAAAUUCUCCCAGCAUCUUAUUAUCAGAUGCCAUCUCUCGCUCACCUUGCAAGACCUUAAUGCCAACCUGGGUUUGGUUAUCAGCAGCAGUAGAGAACACCUGGAAUAACAAGAUGAGAGGCAGCAAAACUUAGAAGCCAUGACAAAAGAGAGACAAAUCCUGCCCAUAUAACUGAGAAUAUAAGCAAUUGCAAAGAUUAAUAUGACACAGUCAGAACCUAACAACUUACCUGGCUUUUCUUUGUAGGUAUGGUGGUAUUCCUGUUGAUCAGCCUGGUAAAGAUACCUCCCAAAGUCUCAAUACCU
rnacentral:lncRNA from 1 species